rnacentral:pre_miRNA from 1 species
AGAUGUUGCUGUAAAAUGACACGUUUUCUCCCGGAUUGCCAGAAAUCAGUCGCCACCGGGAACUUCGUGUCAGCCCAGAGUGACAUCA